GGGCGAAUUCGAGCUCGGUACCCAACGUCGCGUAAAUUGUUUAACACUUUGCGUAACGUACACUGGGAUCGCUGAAUUAGAGAUCGGCGUCCUUUCAUUCUAUAUACUAAGGAGGUUAAAAUGUCUCUAAGUACUGAAGCAACAGCUAAAAUCGUUUCUGAGUUUGGUCGACCUGCAGGCAUGCA
rnacentral:ncRNA from 1 species